rnacentral:misc_RNA from 1 species
AAGUCGUAAAAAGGUCUACGUUGGUGAACCAGCGGAGGUAUCAUUACAGAGUUGCAAAACUCCCAACGAUUGUGAAUCUACUUCACCGUUGCUUCGGCGGGUAGCCCGCUAAACCCGGGCCGCACUGGCCCCACUUUCGGGGCUGGCAACCCGUCACAGAACCGAAACUCUUAGUCAUCAUUGACCUCUCUGAGUAACUUACACGAUAAGUCAAAACUUUCAACAACGGAUCUCUUGGUUCUGGCAUCGAUGAAGAAC